rnacentral:rRNA from 1 species
GGCCGAGCCGUGAACCUCCGGAAGGAUCAUUA